rnacentral:tRNA from 1 species
CAGAACAUAGCUUAAAUAAAGCGCUUCGCUUACACCGAAGCAACGCCUGUUCAACCCAGACUGUUCUGAG